GGGAUUGUGGCUCAGCAGUAGAGAGCUCACCUGCCAUGUGUGAGACCCUGAGUUCGAUCCUCAGCACUACAA
rnacentral:tRNA from 1 species